CACGCUCCUUUUAGUACAAACAGACACAACACAGCCUUGCGACCCGGGGGCCAGCAGCAGAGAUCAGAAUGUACUAGAUUCAGCAACGACCUUCUGCAGUGGGGUCACUGCAGGCACUAAGGGUCAGAUAAAGGUUGUCUUGCAAGGAGCCGUCUCCUCUGAUGAGCUCUCAGUGCAUGAGGACCAGUAUGCCUGGUAUCUGUCCCUGUCACUAGGACACAAAGCCUGGAGCACAGGAGGCAUGCUGCCAGUGUGAGUUAAAUGAAAAGGGUGACCAAAGGGUGUGUCCUCCUCUCUGUCACUGUAGGGUUUUUUCUUUUUACAAUUAAGUUCCAAUAAAGGUAAAUACACACUGUCUAAGGGAGGUAAUAAGUACGUACUUACAGAGUUGCCUCACAGAUUCAAUGACAUAAUACAUGUGAAGACACUAAUAAUAAUACUCUAAGAGUGCAAAAUGUGCAGGGAAUACGCGCAGAAGGAAAAGUGCAUAGAGUACAGCACGCCAGCCUCUGGCCCGGCGAGCUCAGCGUGAGCUGCUCCGGGACCACCUGCAUCACCACCACCAGCAGGAGAAACUGAAACUUCUAGAAGACAGACAUGCAGCUCAUCAGGUUUCCAGCUAAAAUAAUUUCUGGUCGUUUACAGAGACAAGAGAAAAGGCCUAUCAUUUAUGUAUCCCUCUGCAAAAGUAGACCAAGGAACAGAAAGCGUUGCAGCUGCCCAGCGGUCCAGGGCCACCGCUCCAGACCCUACACCUGCCGGGAGGAUUGGCUAGAUGCUCUCACCCGCCCUGCACCCUCCUACGAAUACAGGAGGGAGAGCAUUCAAAUCAGUCGGCCACCCGCAAGGAGGGCCCGAUGCUGACUCAAAUUUUCAUGAGUGUGUCAGCGAGAUCUGGUCAAGCACUUCAAGAAAGCUUGCUUCCGACACAUUCGCUCU